GGGGGCAGGAAAGACCAGACAGAGCUGCAUCUCCCAUGAAAACAACUGUGUACAUAAGAUAGAGUGAGUACAUAGAGUACAUAGAAGAGUGAGCUCUGAAAGAACUCUCACAUGGACCCCAGAAAGAGGAGUACUCAACGCCUGCUGCACAGAAGGCAUCAGCAGUUAAGUACUGGCUAGAAAAGCGGAGUCCAUCAAAGGAGAGGACCACAGUGGUAGCUGCCUGCUAAAGCUCUCAGCGUGAAUCAUGUUCCAUCAAUGAAACACACACACAUGUGCAAUAUGGAAGAUGAGUGAAAUCCAGGCUAUCUUCCUGAAGCUACUGUUCCUGGCAAGUGUAGCUGUGGGGACUGAGUUUUGGGCAGCAGCAAAUAACUCCCAGCUUCCAUGUGCUUGAGAGUCAGUUGCCGGGAUGCCAGCAGCUGCAUCCUCAGUCUAAGAUUGCAGCCAAUGAUGAUGUUUUCAUGAAUCCACCGUUCACGUGGCAGCCUCCUGGAGCUCAGACUGAUGCCUGCUCCUCCAGCCUUCCAAUACCUUUGCAAACACCUGAAUUCCACAUUAAUCUCUCUCUGUUUAGAAUACCCAGAGUGGCUUGUGUUUCCUGGGCUGAACCCUGCCUGGAGAGCUGUCCCUGCAAGCUGAACUAACAGA
rnacentral:lncRNA from 10 species